rnacentral:rRNA from 1 species
UAGUCCACGCCGUAAACGAUGUCAACUAGCCGUUGGGAAUCUUGUAUUCUUAGUGGCGCAGCUAACGCAAUAAGUUGACCGCCUGGGGAGUACGGCCGCAAGGUUAAAACUCAAAUGAAUUGACGGGGGCCCGCACAAGCGGUGGAGCAUGUGGUUUAAUUCGAUGCAACGCGAAGAACCUUACCAGGUCUUGACAUCCAGAGAAGUUACCAGAGAUGGUUUCGUGCCUUCGGGAGCUCUGAGACAGGUGCUGCAUGGCUGUCGUCAGCUCGUGUCGUGAGAUGUUGGGUUAAGUCCCGUAACGAGCGCAACCCUUGUCCUUAGUUGCUAACAUUAAGUUGAGAACUCUAGGGAGACUGCCGGUGACAAACCGGAGGAAGGUGGGGACGAUGUCAAGUCAUCAUGGCCCUUACGACCUGGGCUACACACGUGCUACAAUGGCCGGUACAGACGGUCGCGAAGCCGCGAGGUGGAGCUAAUCCUACAAAACCGGUCGUAGUCCGGAUUGGAGUCUGCAA